AUACAGUUCGCUCAUUAGGGGUGCAUCAAAUUUUCGAACUAUGUACACAAAGUAAUCUACCUCAGAUCAUGCAAUAUUCUCUCAGUUGGAUCUGUCUUUGCAUUGCAUCGGAAUUCAGCCAAGUUUAAAUUGUGUAUUUUGUAACGAUUAUUGUCUGUGUUAAGAUAAUUCAAGUAGGGAGAACCUGAACUAUUUGUUCAACAUAAAAGUAGGACAGUUUAUAGGACUUUUUACAUGGUAUUUUUUCUUAACACCGAUGAAAUAUUUGUUCAAAAUUGUCACUAUCAUUUCACGUUAAACGAUAGUUUGACUGAUGUUUGAUUAGAGGUACAUUUCUUUGUAAUGCACUACACUGACGACGGUUGUCCCACAUCAUGUCUUUCAUUUGCUUGUUUGGUUGCCUUAUGCAGAAUUACUGCGGUAAUAAAAUGUACAAAA